rnacentral:rRNA from 1 species
UACGAAGGGUGCAAGCGUUAAUCGGAAUUACUGGGCGUAAAGGGUGCGUAGGCGGUGAGUUAAGUCUGUCGUGAAAUCCCCGGGCUCAACCUGGGAAUGGCGAUGGAUACUGGCUCGCUAGAGUGUGUCAGAGGAUGGUGGAAUUCCCGGUGUAGCGGUGAAAUGCGUAGAGAUCGGGAGGAACAUCAGUGGCGAAGGCGGCCAUCUGGGACAACACUGACGCUGAAGCACGAAAGCGUGGGGAGCAAACAGG